rnacentral:rRNA from 1 species
CCUACGGGUGGCAGCAGUGGGGAAUAUUGCACAAUGGGCGAAAGCCUGAUGCAGCAACGCCGCGUGAAGGAAGACGGUUUUCGGAUUGUAAACUUCUGUUCUUAGUGAAGAAUAAUGACGGUAACUAAGGAGCAAGCCAUGGCUAACUACGUGCCAGCAGCCGCGGUAAUACGUAGGUGGCAAGCGUUCUCCGGAAUUACUGGGUGUAAGGGGAGCGUAGGCGGGAAGCCAAGUCAGCUGUGAAAACUACGGGCUUAACCUGUAGACUGCAGUUGAAACUGGCUUUCUUGAGUGAAGUAGAGGUUGGCGGAAUUCGGAGUGUAGCGGUGAAAUGCGUAGAGAUUCGGAGGAAUACUGGUGGCGAAGGCGGCCAACUGGGCCUUAACUGACGCUGAGGCGCGAAAGUGUGGGGAGCAAACAGGAUUAGAUACCCCAGUAGUC